AUGACGAUCUUUUUUUUCAUCACUACAGCAUACGAAAAUUUGUCCACUGUAUCUGUAAGUGAUCCAGCUGCUUUGGAUGUGGACAUCUGGGAACCUGGUUGUUCAACUAUCGAUAUAUGUCAGAAGCUCCGAAAAGAAUACACUAAGAAAAUUGAGAGCCGUUCACGGAAAAUGGAGCAUUUUGCAAAGCAAUCAUUAAGCACUGCCAACCAGCAUUUGACAAUGAUGAAUCAACAGCUACUUGAAUGCAGGUCUGUAAAGAAAUAAUUAUCUUAAAACAAUUAAAAAUCAAUUAAUGCAUUCUAACCUUUUCUCUCCUUUUUUUUUUUUUUUUUUAAUAGGCUCAAGCAGCUGGACAGAUUUCAUAUUGUUAUUCUUCAGGAAAUUGAGAAUUUUGAGAAAGAUUCUCAGUCCCUGAAUAACAUGGAGAAAGAAUUACUGGUUUGUUUUUAAUUACUUUAGCAUGGAGAAAAACAAGUUCCUGUGAAAUCUAUGGAUUACUCAUAGGAUCUUUCACUUUGUAUCAUUAAUUCUGAUUUUUAAAAAACCUUUUUGUCUUCCUUAUAGAUGACUCAAGUUUCAAAUAAUGAAUUUGAAAUGUCAGGAUUUGAUUAUGCUACGCUAUUAAAGUUUCAGUUACUAUUAGGUUUUCUUCCUGGAACAAACAACUCAUGCUGCUUCUAAUGGGCUGUUUAUGCUAUUUCAUGAGCCUUAUUUCAAUUGGCCUGCAUUUCAGGCUGUGUGUUCUGAGACAGGUCAGUUGCCUGCUACAUGCUGUAAUGUAAAAUUGAUAUAUAAGUAUUCAUGUUAAAACAAAACUUCUUUCCUCUGAGGCCUUUUUCUUUUUUAAUUACACUUUGAUUAUAUCAAAAAUCUGUUUAAAACAUUGUGGACAUACUUUUUCAUUUAUUUGAAACUUAGAACAAAUAUAUUGGUGAAAAAUUUUCUGAUGAAACUGGCUUCAUGAAAAUGGAAUUCCUGAAGUGUCAUAUCCUGCCAUCCAAACUUUUAUGUUUGUUUGUUUUAAAGCCUCUAAGGUGACUGUUUACCUACUUCCCAUUCUGUGCUGAGCCUAUAAUUGCAGGUUAUAGUAGUCAAAUUAGAUUGUAGUCAGUUCUAGUUUAGAAAAUGCCAGUUACUGUUGGCUGUCAUCUGUUAAUAUCUUUCUUUCCAGACUUUUUGGAAAAAACAUAAGCAUACCUUAAGUACGUUCAUGAAAAAUGAGCAACAGAGGUUAGUAGGCUUCAUUGGUGAUGUUUUGAAAUUUGCUUUCUGAUGUAAAUUCAAGCUGAAAAUUAGGCUGCCUUUUAUUUUUUAUGCAGUUGCUCUCUUCCAUAAAGUAAGGAUAAUAAACGAGAUGAGAAAAAGAGAUUAAAACGUAAC
rnacentral:lncRNA from 1 species